rnacentral:rRNA from 1 species
UACGUAGGGUGCAAGCGUUAAUCGGAAUUACUGGGCGUAAAGCGUGCGCAGGCGGUUUUGUAAGUCUGACGUGAAAUCCCCGGGCUCAACCUGGGAAUUGCGUUGGAGACUGCAAGGCUAGAAUCUGGCAGAGGGGGGUAGAAUUCCGACGUGUGAGCAGUGAAAUGCGUAGAUAUGUGGAGGAACACCGAUGGCGAAGGCAGCCCCCUGGGUCAAGAUUGACGCUCAUGCACGAAAGCGU